CGGUGGAGUAUGUGGUUUAAUUCGAUGCAACGCGAAGAACUUACCUGGUCUUGACAUCCCGGAGACCCUUAGGAAACUAGGGGUGCUUCCAUCUGGAGAAUCUGGAGACAGGUGCUGCAUGGCUGUCGUCAGCUCGUGUCGUGAGAUGUUGGGUUAAGUCCCGCAACGAGCGCAACCCUUGCCUUUAGUUGCCAGCAGUUCGGCUGGGCACUCUAAAGGGACUGCCGGUGUUAAACCGGAGGAAGGUGGGGAUGACGUCAAGUCCUCAUGGCCUUUAUGACCAGGGCUACACACGUACUACAAUGGCCGAUACAAAGGGCAGCGACACUGCGAGGUGAAGCCAAUCCCGUAAAAUCGGUCUCAGUCCGGAUUGGAGUCUGCAACUCGACUCCAUGAAGUUGGAAUCGCUAGUAAUCGUGGAUCAGCAUGCCACGGUGAAUACGUUCCCGGGCCUU
rnacentral:rRNA from 1 species